UACGAAGGAUGCGAGCGUUAUCCGGAUUUAUUGGGUUUAAAGGGUGCGUAGGCGGCCUUAUAAGUCAGUGGUGAAAUCCUAUCGCUUAACGAUAGACGUGCCAUUGAUACUGUAGGGCUUGAGUACAGAUGCCGUUGGCGGAAUGUGUCAUGUAGCGGUGAAAUGCAUAGAUAUGACACAGAACACCGAUUGCGAAGGCAGCUGACGAAACUGUAACUGACGCUGAUGCACGAAAGCGUGGGGAUCAAACAGG
rnacentral:rRNA from 2 species